UGAACGCUGGCGGCAGGCCUACCACAUGCACGUCGACCGGUAACAGGAAGAAGCUUGCUUCUUUGCUGACGAGUGGCGGACGGGUGAGUAAUGUCUGGGAAACUGCCUGAUGGAGGGGGAUAACUACUGGAAACGGUAGCUAAUACCGCAUAACGUCGCAAGACCACAGAGGGGGACCUUCGGGCCUCUUGCCAUCGGAUGUGCCCAGAUGGGAUUAGCUAGUAGGUGGGGUAACGGCUCACCUAGGCGACGAUCCCUAGCUGGUCUGAGAGGAUGACCAGCCACACUGGAACUGAGACACGGUCCAGACUCCUACGGGAGGCAGCAGUGGGGAAUAUUGCACAAUGGGCGCAAGCCUGAUGCAGCCAUGCCGCGUGUAUGAAGAAGGCCUUCGGGUUGUAAAGUACUUUCAGCGGGGAGGAAGGGAGUAAAGUUAAUACCUUUGCUCAUUGACGUUACCCGCAGAAGAAGCACCGGCUAACUCCGUG
rnacentral:rRNA from 1 species